rnacentral:rRNA from 1 species
UGAGAGGAGCUUGCUUUUCUUAGCUUAGUGGCGAACGGGUGAGUAACGCGUGAGUAACCUGCCCUGGAGUGGGGGACAACAGUUGGAAACGACUGCUAAUACCGCAUAAGCCCACGGUGCCGCAUGGCACUGCGAGAAAAGGAUUUAUUCGCUCUAGGAUGGACUCGCGUCUGAUUAGCUGGUUGGCGGGGUAACGGCCCACCAAGUCGACGAUCGGUAGCCGGACUGAGAGGUUGAUCGGCCACAUUGGGACUGAGACACGGCCCAAACUCC